rnacentral:rRNA from 1 species
UACGUAGGGUGCGAGCGUUGUCCGGAAUUAUUGGGCGUAAAGGGCUCGUAGGCGGUUUGUCGCGUCGGGAGUGAAAUCCACUGGCUUAACUGGUGGCUUGCUUUCGAUACGGGCAGACUGGAGGUAUGCAGGGGAGAACGGAAUUCCUGGUGUAGCGGUGAAAUGCGCAGAUAUCAGGAGGAACACCGGUGGCGAAGGCGGUUCUCUGGGCAUGUCCUGACACU